ACGAAAUGAAGAAAGAGAGAGAAAUCAAGGAGACGAAAGUCAAAGUCAAAGGCCAAAGUUCCACGCGUGCGAGGACGAGGACGAGGACGUGGCCGUAAACAAGUUCCUGUGUCCAAGGUUUCGGUUUCAGUCCCUGGGAUCAAGGUAUUUUUAUCUAAUAUUAGUAUUACAUUAUUAUUAUUUUUUGUCAUAAUUGGUGUGAUUUAUUCGUUAUAUAGAAUGCCGAUUAUUACAGGGGAAGAAAGGACUACGUACGUCGUGACCAAAUAUCCGAAGAAGAUAGGAUAUUGUUGGAUCAGUUCUUGGAAAGUGUUGAUUUAGGGUAAGAGCACA
rnacentral:lncRNA from 1 species